GACGAACGCUGGCGGCGUGCUUAACACAUGCAAGUCGAACGGAAAGGCCCUGCUUUUGUGGGGUGCUCGAGUGGCGAACGGGUGAGUAACACGUGAGUAACCUGCCCUUGACUUUGGGAUAACUUCAGGAAACUGGGGCUAAUACCGGAUAGGAGCUCCUGCUGCAUGGUGGGGGUUGGAAAGUUUCGGCGGUUGGGGAUGGACUCGCGGCUUAUCAGCUUGUUGGUGGGGUAGUGGCUUACCAAGGCUUUGACGGGUAGCCGGCCUGAGAGGGUGACCGGCGAGCUGGGGGUAUGGAGAAGGACCAGACGCCUACGGGCGUCAGCGGGGGGGAGUUUGGGAGACUGAGCGGAAGUUUGAUGACGCAGGGUCUCGUGGGGGAAGCCGGCGGUCGGGUUGUAAACCGCUUUCGCCGGUGAUCUACCGUGAGUGACGGUAUUGGGUAUGGAUGCACCGGCUAACUUGGUG
rnacentral:rRNA from 1 species